CAGGAACAGAAAUGUUGAGAAGGGUAGACUGAUGACUACCCCUCAGUGGAAACAGACCAGAUCUCAGCUUAUCUGGCUGGAAGGAAAGCAAAAAAACAAAGCAAAACCAACCAAAAAAUCCUAAGAAACAAAAGACAGAUUCAAGCCAAUCUGUGAUUUGUAAAAUAAGCCAGGUGCAGGCUUGUGUGCCUUCAGCUGAAUGUAAGAAGUCCAGCUAUCAUGAAGUCUCCAUGUGGACAGACAAUUCAGAGGAAUGAGAGAGAGAGAGACCUGAGCAGCUAGCAGUGCCAGCACCUAGAUGUUUGAAUCUUCCCAGCCCAGAUACAUGAUGGAAAAAACUUCAAGAUGCCCAUUGGACAGCAACCACAUGAAAGACCUGGAGUGAGAACUCCUAAGCUGAGAUCUCACUCUUUCAGACUCCAGAGCCAAAUAAAUAAUUAUUAAUGUUUAAGCCACUGUUUUGGUGUGGCAACAAUAAAGGCCUGGAACAGGGUGAUACGGGAAGGUUUCUUUGAGGAUAUGAUGCUUAUGCUGAAGACCUCAGUAUCAUGAAGGAGCCAGGGGAGAAAGAACAUUCUGGGCAAAGGAAAUGGUGGGAAGAUCCUAAGUCAGAAGUGGAUUUAGCAAGUUCAAGGAAGGAAAGCAGGCCAGUGAGGCUGAAAUGCAACCCAAUACUGGGCCACAUGGUGACUUGGAUUUUUAAGGGUUACACACAUGAGGCAACUACAAUCCAGAGGAAUUUGUGACUAUCCUCAGAGGCCACAGCCAUUGAUGCCUCUUUCACUCUGCCCAUUAUGUCCCACUGAACAGCUUGGGUGUCAGAGCCAGCCAUUUUGCUCUGUGAGGAAGUAAUUUUGCAGUUAAAUUGGACCUGGUUGCAUUUUCUAGUCUCUGCUUUCUCCAAAUAUCCCAGUACUUAGUUUUUGCUCUGGUUGAAAAAAAAAAAAAAAAAAAAAAAAAAAAAAAAAAAAAACCUACACUAAUGGAUUAAACAACCAUUUGGAAAAGACAGGAUUUUUUCUUAAACUUUUUUGAGGUAAUUUUGGAAAGGAUCAUUCAAAUUAACGUAUGUGAAGCACCUAACAUAACAGACCCUUGGUAAAUGGUAGCAAAGAAGAUUGUGAUCAUUAGGAGCUCCUGAGAGAGGGCAGGUGCCACAGGAAGGGAUUGGACCAGAUCAACAUUUCAGUGUCUUCUGAGGAUUAUAAUUUCUGGAAGUUGCUCCCAGAUGGGGGACAACUUUCAACCUACGGUCAAAUAAAUAUUGCUUAGAAACUCUCA
rnacentral:lncRNA from 1 species